GUAUUGCAAAAUUUCAUGUACACCAUGUUAAGAGAUAGCAAUGCAACCGCAGCCAAGAUGUCUUUAGAUGUAAUGAUUGAACUCUACAGAAGGAACAUCUGAUAUUAGUUGCCGCUUUGACAUUCUUUCUUGGGAAAGAUGAAGAUGAAAAACAGGACAGUGACUCCGAAUCUGAGGAUGAUGGACCAACAGCAAGAGACCUGCUAGUACAAUAUGCUACAGGGAAGAAAAGUUCCAAAAACAAGAAAAAGUUGGAAAAGGCAAUGAAAGUGCUCAAGAAACAAAAAAAGAAGAAAAAACCAGAGGUGUUUAACUUUUCAGCCAUUCACUUGAUUCACGAUCCCCAAGAUUUUGCAGAAAAACUACUAAAGCAGCUUGAGUGCUGUAAGGAGAGGUUUGAAGUGAAGAUGAUGCUCAUGAACCUUAUCUCCAGAUUGGUGGGAAUUCAUGAGCUUUUCCUCUUCAAUUUCUAUCCCUUUUUGCAAAGGUUUCUGCAGCCCCACCAAAGAGAAGUAACAAAGAUCCUUCUGUUUGCUGCACAAGCAUCUC
rnacentral:sRNA from 1 species